rnacentral:lncRNA from 1 species
GGGAGCCAAUCAGAGUCCCUCACGGGGGAAUAUAAAUGCUCAGGGACGGCUGUUCACCUGGGGUGUGAGAACGUCUCCUCCAUCCUUCCCGGAAGGCCUGUGUGUCCCUGCCCUGCGUACGUGCAGCUCGCUGCCUUUGUCCAGCAGCUUUGGAUACCCGGCCAGCGCCCUGGAACUGAAUUUCCAGGUCGUGCCGUGUCCCCACUUGAGAAUGCAGGAGGUCACUGGACACGGACCGAGAUUGGGACCUCUGGAGGUAAAAGCACAUCUGCAAAGAACUGGACACACGCGUCAGCUCUCUUGGAAAAGGUCCGCCAGGCACAGGCCCUGUUGAGCAAUGGGUCAGCCCCAGGAGCUGUGUCCUCCACCAAGGAUGCCAAAGCAUCGCCUAUGGACGGGGCGUUCCUGAUGCUCCUCAAAGGCCCACAGCAGGGAGAGAGGGAGAAGAGGAAGAAACGGAAUUCGGGUGAGAGUCAGCCACUUGGGGAAUAAACUUCGAAGCUGC